rnacentral:lncRNA from 1 species
GUCAAUGACCUGGAGAUACAUUCUAUGUUUAGGGAGUUGGCUGUAUUUAAAUGGGGCUUAAAGUUGUCACACCUGUAAUUGAACUGUUUCAAUGCAUUUUGUCUGCACAAUCAGGUUCCAGGUAAUCUAUGGUCCUUCAAAACAAGUAAGAAAGUGCAUGCAAUUCCUUAAGAGGAGCUUGCUAUAUAUAUGAAAGCAGAUUCAGGAUGUUAUUUCCAUUACUUAAUUGCUUUAGACCUUUGUUUUCUCUGUCCCUCCUUAAAUUUUUACAAGUUAUCUCGAGGAAGGACCUUCCAGUGCUGUUCCUGGCAGAGGGAUACAAUGAGAGCUGGCAUGAUUUCAUGUGCCCACCACUGACAUCGACCCUCAGCACCCUGAGCAUGACAAGAGAUAUGUGCAAAGCCCAGGAGCUCCAUCCAACCUACCCCAAUCCCACUCCUCCUGCCCCAGGGCAGGCAGGAAAAACCUUUGAAAAGGAUAUUGAAGAGUGCACGAAUUCCUGCAGCACCACUUGGGAGUCACAGCAGUGCAUCCCCCCGAGCACACUGCAGGGCAGAAAGCAAAUAAAAUCCCAGUAAAGGUAAGUCUGGGAGAGCAUUUUUAAUCCAGAACAUCUCUCUUUUCUUUUCCCCACCUGUACACCAAAUUCAGCAGUGGAGUGGUGGGAAUACUUUGUCAUCACAAACAUAUAUUAUUUCUGUGAUGUGUGUUAGUACAUUGUAAUGAAAAUGUGUUUUCCAAAGGCACAGUUGCUUUUUUUCCCCUUUGCUGUCACUGUAACACUCUUCACCAAGAUAAAAGGUUUCCUUCCCAUCUCCCUCCAAGAAGAAAAUAUAAAACCUGAGUAAUGGGAAUGACAGAACUCAUGUAAUUGCUCCUGCUUUGCAUGAUUCCAGACUGAUUGCCUGAACUAUGACUGAUCCAGAUUCCCACUGAAGUCUGUGAGGGUUUUUGCUCUGAAACAGCAGUUUGGUUUUGGAGGAGCAUUUUUGAGGAGCAAACCCAAACCCAGGUGAGUGGAAGCAGCAUUGCCACGUGGUUCUGAUGGAAUGAAGACAAUUUAACCCUGUUGAGGAUGAGGCUUGGUGGCUUCACGGCUCAUAAAUGCUGACUGCUGCUGCAUUUGGGCAUAUUUACCAAUUUUUUUUUAUUUAGAGGUUAGAAAUAUAUAUAUGGAAUUUCUGAGGCUGAGCAAAUGCACAUCACCCCCUUGUAUUCAUACACAUGUAACCCUCCUUUGGUCAUUUCAGCGUUACAUUAUUUGAGAAUAUUUUCCUCUUCAAAAACAUUGAAACUGUAUUUUUUUUGCAAGUGGUGCACAGGUUGGAAUACCCAGCCAUUUCUGGGCCUGGCAGUGAUAGAGACUUUUGACUUGCAAACCCUCUUGGUUAGGCAGCUUGUACCAAAAUGGGUGUAAUUAUGUGUGCCCAGGUAACAGGCUUUUUUAUGUAUUUGCUUAGCAGGAAUUUUUGCAGAUGACCAGCUAAUUCAUUGUAACAGGAUGACUUUUGGGCUAGACCAACAUAACAUUUAUAUUUUCAAAUGAGGCCUUUCUGUCCCUGCAGAGGAGAAUUCAUG